rnacentral:hammerhead_ribozyme from 1 species
AUCCAGCUGAUGAGUCCCAAAUAGGACGAAACGUGCGCCCUGGAU